rnacentral:rRNA from 1 species
CAGCCGCCGCGGUAAUACGUAGGUCCCGAGCGUUGUCCGGAUUUAUUGGGCGUAAGGCGAGCGCAGGCGGUUAGAUAAGUCUGAAGUUAAAGGCUGUGGCUUAACCAUAGUACGCUUUGGAAACUGUUUAACUUGAGUGCAAGAGGGGAGAGUGGAAUUCCAUGCGUAGCGGUGAAAUGCGUAGAUAUAUGGAGGAACACCGGUGGCGAAAGCGGCUCUCUGGCUUGUAACUGACGCUGAGGCUCGAAAGCGUGGGGAGCAAACAGGAUUAGAGACCCGCGUAGUCCCUGUCUCUUAUACA